ACGCUGGCGGCGUGCCUAAUACAUGCAAGUAGAACGCACAGGAUGCACCGUAGUUUACUACACCGUAUUCUGUGAGUUGCGAACGGGUGAGUAACGCGUAGGAACCUGCCUGGUAGUGGGGGAUAACUAUUGGAAACGAUAGCUAAUACCGCAUAAGAACAUUUACUGCAUGGUAGAUGUUUAAAAGGUGCAAAAGCAUCACUACCAGAUGGACCUGCGUUGUAUUAGCUAGUUGGUGAGGUAACGGCUCACCAAGGCAACGAUACAUAGCCGACCUGAGAGGGUGAUCGGCCACACUGGGACUGAGACACGGCCCAGACUCCUACGGGAGGCAGCAGUAGGGAAUCUUCGGCAAUGGGGGGAACCCUGACCGAGCAACGCCGCGUGAGUGAAGAAGGUUUUCGGAUCGUAAAGCUCUGUUGUUAAGGAAGAACGUGUGUGAGAGUGGAAAGUUCACACAGUGACGGUACUUAACCAGAAAGGGACGGCUAACUACGUGCCAGCAGCCGCGGUAAUACGUAGGUCCCGAGCGUUGUCCGGAUUUAUUGGGCGUAAAGCGAGCGCAGGCGGUUAGAUAAGUCUGAAGUGAAAGGCAGUGGCUCAACCAUUGUAGGCUUUGGAAACUGUUUAACUUGAGUGCAGAAGGGGAGAGUGGAAUUCCAUGUGUAGCGGUGAAAUGCGUAGAUAUAUGGAGGAACACCGGUGGCGAAAGCGGCUCUCUGGUCUGUAACUGACGCUGAGGCUCGAAAGCGUGGGGAGCGAACAGGAUUAGAUACCCUGGUAGUCCACGCCGUAAACGAUGAGUGCUAGGUGUUAGGUCCUUUCCGGGACUUAGUGCCGCAGCUAACGCAUUAAGCACUCCGCCUGGGGAGUACGACCGCAAGGUUGAAACUCAAAGGAAUUGACGGGGGCCCGCACAAGCGG
rnacentral:rRNA from 1 species